rnacentral:lncRNA from 1 species
AAAUAAAAUACGACAGUGUUACCCCUUAUGUUUUUUUCAUGACGACCAUAAAAAACAACAGUGUUACCCCUUAUGGUUUUUUUUUCAUGACGACCAAAGAAAAAUGACAGUGUCACCCCUCAUGUUUCAUUUGAUAAAAACAACAGUGUUACCCCUUAUGUUUUUUUCAUGACGACCAAUAAAAAACAACAUUGUUACCCCUUAUGUUUUUUUCAUGACGACCAAUAAAAAAACGACAGUGUCACCCCUCAUGUUUCAUUUGAUAAAAACGACAGUGUUACCCCCUAUGUUUUAACUGAUAAAUAUCGACUGUGUUACCCCUUAUGUUUUUUUCACGACGACCAAUAAA